AUGCGUUGUUGGGUAGGGGAGCGUUCUGUAAGCCUGUGAAGGUGUGCUGUGAGGCAUGCUGGAGGUAUCAGAAGUGCGAAUGCUGACAUAAGUAACGAUAAAGCGGGUGAAAAGCCCGCUCGCCGGAAGACCAAGGGUUCCUGUCCAACGUUAAUCGGGGCAGGGUGAGUCGACCCCUAAGGCGAGGCCGAAAGGCGUAGUCGAUGGGAAACAGGUUAAUAUUCCUGUACUUGGUGUUACUGCGAAGGGGGGACGGAGAAGGCUAUGUUGGCCGGGCGACGGUUGUCCCGGUUUAAGCGUGUAGGCUGGUUUUCCAGGCAAAUCCGGAAAAUCAAGGCUGAGGCGUGAUGACGAGGCACUACGGUGCUGAAGCAACAAAUGCCCUGCUUCCAGGAAAAGCCUCUAAGCAUCAGGUAACAUCAAAUCGUACCCCAAACCGACACAGGUGGUCAGGUAGAGAAUACCAAGGCGCUUGAGAGAACUCGGGUGAAGGAACUAGGCAAAAUGGUGCCGUAACUUCGGGAGAAGG
rnacentral:rRNA from 1 species